rnacentral:rRNA from 1 species
GGAAGGACGCUGGCGGCGUGCCUAAUACAUGCAAGUCGAGCGAACAGAUAAGGAGCUUGCUCCUUUGACGUUAGCGGCGGACGGGUGAGUAACACGUGGAUAACCUACCUAUAAGACUGGGAUAACUUCGGGAAACCGGAGCUAAUACCGGAUAACAUAUUGAACCGCAUGGUUCAAUAGUGAAAGGCGGCUUUGCUGUCACUUAUAGAUGGAUCCGCGCCGUAUUAGCUAGUUGGUAAGGUAACGGCUUACCAAGGCAACGAUACGUAGCCGACCUGAGAGGGUGAUCGGCCACACUGGAACUGAGACACGGUCCAGACUCCUACGGGAGGCAGCAGUAGGGAAUCUUCCGCAAUGGGCGAAAGCCUGACGGAGCAACGCCGCGUGAGUGAUGAAGGUCUUCGGAUCGUAAAACUCUGUUAUCAGGGAAGAACAAAUGUGUAAGUAACUGUGCACAUCUUGACGGUACCUGAUCAGAAAGCCACGGCUAACUACGUGCCAGCAGCCGCGGUAAUACGUAGGUGGCAAGCGUUAUCCGGAAUUAUUGGGCGAAAGCGCGCGUAGGCGGUUUUUAAGUCUGAUGGGAACCCCACGGCUCA